rnacentral:sRNA from 1 species
ACAGGAAGAGGUUUUUCUCAAAAAGAAUGGAGGAAGAACAAAGGCAGGCCCGCUUGCGGGAGAAUUUGUUCUAGAGGUUUAGGAAACUUCCAAUUCCGUGUUUGUGACAUCACAAGUCCUUGAAACACUCAAGGGUUGUGGUACGCUGCUCAUUCUAUUCUCCUUCAAAGGCAUGCAAUGGAAGAACUAUUUUACCCUAUAAACUCUGGGCCAUCAUUCAAGGAAAAGCCUGUAGAAGACCACAGUCAGAUAUUGAGUUUUGAUUCAUCAUGGAUAAUCUGUCAUCAGAAGAAAUUCAACAGAGAGCUCACCAGAUUACUGAUGAGUCUCUGGAAAGUACGAGGAGAAUCCUGGGUUUAGCCAUUGAGGUAAGAAAAUGUUAGUCAUCAACUUAAGUAUAGAAAUUUAUAGGAAAGAUCCUAAUACUUCUGGCUGGAAUUAGUAUUAAAGGGUAAUGUAUCAAUAUGCUUUAUUAUUUGAAAUUAACAGUUUCUGAAAUGUCAAACCAUGCACUAAUGGGAAUUUUCUGUUUUUCCCUUUGACAGUAUUGGAAUAUGACAGGGAAGAUGAAUUCACUAUGAGUUUGUGACUUAAUUAUUUUGGGGGGCUGCUAUGUUAAAGUGUGUUAGUUUAAGAAUACUAGUUCUGUCUGUAGCUCUAAUCCUCUGAGAGCUUGGGUUUCUAAAUUAUUCUGUGUUGCUCUUGUAGGUUUUGUUUCUGUUGUUUUUGGUUUGUUUUGUUGUACUAUCAGCUUUCUCCCCCCUUGUCUUAGUCUCAGGAUGCAGGAAUCAAGACCAUCACUAUGCUGGAUGAACA